GGGAAAUCGAGGUGAAGAAAUAAGGAAAGUCCCGCAGACGUGAUUAGCACGUCUGAAUAUACCUCCUUUCGUUUCUCUGCCGCAGGCCUCCCAUGGAUAUUCCAUAAGGUAGAUCACGAUAUGAUCUAAAGAGAGGAAUUGUAGGAUAUGAAUAUCCAUUUUGCUCUAUAUCCUAACUGUUCAUGUAAGGGUUAAUUUGAAUCAAGAAUAAAUUUGGAAUUGUAU